rnacentral:lncRNA from 1 species
UAUAUCCUGCACGCCCACCACAGCUGCCUCCCUUUGCCUUCCCCCCCCCACAUCCCUCCCCUAGGAUUUCUCCCGUGUCCUCCCUGCUUCCCACCACCCUAUUUUCCAUCUCCCCCCCCCCAUUUUGGGGGCAAGCAAUCGGAGCACCCCUGGUCUGCUCCGGGCUGCCCCUGCCCCCCGGGUGUAGGAAACGUCCCCAACGCGCCCCCGGCCACCAGGACGUGGGCAGGUGGCACAGGGGGACCGUGUCCUUCCCCCCCACGGGGGGGAACCGCCGCCAGCCGCUCGCGUCCUGCCCCGCGCCGGGGGAAACUGAGGCACGGGGGAAAGCCUCAGCAGCAGGAGACCGGUGCCAGCACACCCGCUGGCUUCGCCCUCGCCAGGCGCCGCCGUUCCUCGCCUCGCGGGCUGAGCGUGAAGGCCACGGGCAGGUUAAAGUUAAACUGCGUUUCGCGAGGAGGACGCGUGGGUGUUGUCCGCCCCAACGCUCCCCCCCGGCGUGCAGCGAAUGUGGAGCGCGGGUGGGAGGGGACACCGGGUCCCCGCAGCGCCACGGCCGCCGGGGGUAAACUUGAAGGCACCAGGGAGAAAUUGAACCACCCCGAUGGCGAGAGGCCCCCCGGGGGUGGAGGGGGGGGGGCUCCCGCUUCCCUGUGCCAAUUCCCACGUGUGCGUGCGGGGAGGGGGGGCUGUAACAGAGCCCCCUGUACGGACCGAAACUGCUUUGGUUUGGGAGAUCCAGAGGAGAGACGGCGCUGGGCCAGGGUUUGGCUCCCAGCGAGGCUUCAGCAGCCUCACCGGGGAGGCUCCGCGGGGGCUCCCCCGCCCCCCCGUGCCCCCCCCCCCCCCAAAGCCUCCAGCCUUGCCCCGGAGCUGCUGCUCCCGUUCCCACCCAUCCUCCUCCUCCUCCUCCAAGCCCCGGUGGCUCCGGCCCAGGGCAGAACAAUGUGGCCGGUCCGAGGCUCUGUGCAGCCCCCGUUUCUCAGCCAAGCGUACGCCAAGUGGGAAAUCCGGGGCAGAGUAACCUAGUUUCUGUGCUCACAAGGAGCUUUCUGUCCCGGCCAAGCAAGGUGGCGGGGGCAGCGCUGCCCGCCCGGGGCUCGCUGUGGCGGCGGGCAGAUGGCGGCACCAGGGGAGGCAGGUAGGGAGGCCCCGGCGGUGACGGGAUGAGGACAGGAGGCCGGGGUUGCCCCCUCACCUUGUCCGCAGCGGGGUGCUGGGGCACCCCAGGCGUGGAGGGUGUCUGGAUCUGGUGGGUUUCUGACCCGCAGCCGUCCUGGAGAAGUCUGGGUUGGAGAACGGAGCCAGCGGGGCGGCCGGACUGCCUGUGGGGUGAUGCUCGGCCCCGUAGGACUGCCUGUGGGGUGAUGCUCGGCCCCGUAGGACUGCCCGUGGGGUGAUGCUCGGCCCCACAGGCUGUUUGCAGGGUGAUGCUCAGCUCCACGGCACGACGCUCAGGCCCAGUGCUGACCCACGCCCGCAGGCAGGCGACGCGGCAUCACUUCGCUCGAACCCUAAAGGUUUCCCCAGAGCCAGGAAGGGAGCCCCUGUGUCCGGGCACCCCGUAUCCCCCCACUUCAUCCCCAGGUGGUUGCGGAAAGCGCCCCGGCUCCCAUCCCGCCUCCCUCCGCUAGGCUUCGCUGCCCUCCUGGGGGGAACGCGCAGGCGAGGCGGGGAGCAGGAGCCUGCAUCCCCAACCUGCUGAGGCUCGUCCUCUUCCAGCAGGACUUUCUGGUUCCCAGAGGCCCUGGCGGGGCCACGCUGGGCUGGGCUGGGCUGCAGCGAGCCCUGCCACGAGCCGGGCUUGGAGCCUGGCGGCGCGGCCGGACCGUGGCCGGGUGCUGGGCAUGGGCCCGUGGGGGCCUCCCAGCCACAGCCCCCUGGGGCCAGGCACCCACUGGGCACCGACGCUGCAGGGGCAGAGGUGAGCUGGCUCUGUCCUCGCCGCCGGAGAGGUAAUGCCGCUCGCUGGGGACGCCCGUGAUGGGCCCUAGGGACUGCACGGCUCUUGAGGCAUUGCUCUACCCGC